CGUUGCCUACGGGGGGCAGCAGUGGGGAAUAUUGGACAAUGGGGGGAACCCUGAUCCAGCGACGCCGCGUGAGUGAAGAAGUGUUUCGGUAUGUAAAGCUCUAUCAGCAGGGAAGAAAGAAAUGACGGUACCUGACUAAGAAGCCCCGGCUAACUACGUGCCAGCAGCCGCGGUAAUACGUAGGGGGCAAGCGUUAUCCGGAUUUACUGGGUGUAAAGGGAGCGUGGACGGUUACGCAAGUCUGGAGUGAAAGGCGGGGGCCCAACCCCCGGACUGCUUUGGAAACUGUAUAACUGGAGUGCAGG
rnacentral:rRNA from 1 species